rnacentral:rRNA from 1 species
UACGUAGGGUCCGAGCGUUGUCCGGAAUUACUGGGCGUAAAGAGCUCGUAGGUGGUUUGUCGCGUUGUUCGUGAAAACUCACAGCUUAACUGUGGGCGUGCGGGCGAUACGGGCAGACUUGAGUACUGCAGGGGAGACUGGAAUUCCUGGUGUAGCGGUGGAAUGCGCAGAUAUCAGGAGGAACACCGGUGGCGAAGGCGGGUCGCUGGGCAGUAACUGACGCUGAGGAGCGAAAGCGUGGGGAGCGAACAGG